AACGAACGCUGGCGGCGUGCUUAACACAUGCAAGUCGAGCGAGAACGGCUGUCUUCGGAGAGCUUAGUAGAGCGGCAGACGGGUGAGUAACACGUGGGUAACCUGCCCCUGAGCGGGGGAUAACCACUCGAAAGGGUGGCUAAUACCGCAUAAGACCACGACUCUGCGGGUUGGGGUCAAAGGCUUCGGCCACUUGGGAGGGGCCCGCGCCCGAUUAGCUAGUUGGUGGGGUAAGGGCCUACCAAGGCGACGAUCGGUAGCUGGUCUGAGAGGAUGAUCAGCCACGCUGGUACUGAGACACGGACCAGACUCCUACGGGAGGCAGCAGUGGGGAAUAUUGCGCAAUGGGGGAAACCCUGACGCAGCAACGCCGCGUGGGUGAUGAAGGCCUUCGGGUCGUAAAGCCCUGUCAGGUGGGAAGAACUCUUGCUUUGGGGCAAGCUGACGGUACCACCAAAGGAAGCACCGGCUAACUCCGUG
rnacentral:rRNA from 1 species